rfam:Loxodonta africana cont3.75227, whole genome shotgun sequence.
UGUGCACAUCCGCUCGUCUGACCCACUGCUCUGGGCCUGGGGCUGUGGGUGGCAGAGGUGCUCCACUAACCCACAGUGACACUGCCUGGCGGGUGUUCAGUCUGUGCAAA